rnacentral:miRNA from 1 species
UGGACUUCAAUGAUUUGGAUUCUUGCACUUCACUUGGUGGAAUUAAUAUUAGUUGGAUUACAAACCCUAACAUUCUAAUAUUAAUUCCACCAAGUGAAGUGCAAGAAUCCAAAUCAUUGAAGACAG